rnacentral:tRNA from 1 species
GCGGGUGUAGCAUAGUGGUAAUGCUCUAGCCUUCCAAGCUAGCCAGGUGGGUUCGAUUCCCAUCACCCGCUCCA